rnacentral:rRNA from 1 species
AUACGUAGGGUGCGAGCGUUGUCCGGAAUUAUUGGGCGUAAAGAGUACGUAGGUGGUUGCGUAAGCGCAAGGUGAAAGACCGAGGCUUAACUUCGGUGAGCCUUGUGAACUGCGUGACUUGAGUGCAGGAGGGGAAAGUGGAAUUCCUAGUGUAGCGGUGAAAUGCGUAGAUAUUAGGAGGAACACCAGUGGCGAAGGCGACUUUCUGGACUGUAACUGACACUGAGGUACGAAAGCGUGGGGAGCAAACAGGAUUAGAUACCCUGGUAGUCCACGCCGUAAACGAUGAGCACUAGGUGUUGGCGUAGAAAUACGUCGGUGCCGAAGUUAACGCAUUAAGUGCUCCGCCUGGGGAGUACGCACGCAAGUGUGAAACUCAAAUGAAUUGGCGGGG